rnacentral:rRNA from 1 species
GACGAACGCUGGCGGCGUGCCUAAUACAUGCAAGUAGAACGCCGUUGCGAACGGGUGAGUAACGCGUAGGUAACUGCCUCAUAGCGGGGGGUAACUAUUGGAAACGAUAGCUAAUACCGCCUACUGUGAGAUGGACCUGCGUUGUAUUAGCUAGUUGGUGGGGUAAAGGCUCACCAAGGCGACGAUACAUAGCCGACCUGAGAGGGUGGACGGGCACACUGGGACUGAGACAACGCCCAGAAUCCUAAGGGAGGGAGCAGGAGGGGAUCUUUGGCAAUGGGCGGAAGGCUGACCGAGGAACGGCGCGGGAGUGAAGAAGGUUUUCGGAUCGGAAAACUCUUUUCUGAGAGAAGCGUUACCUAACCAGAAAGCGACGGCUAACUACGUGCCAGCAGCCGCGGUAAUAC